CUAUAGAGCCCCAGGGGGAGUUUCCUCAGCCCUGGAAUUCAGGACACUUUCCUGCUUUUAUGAUACUGUCUUCACCCUCUGCAUACCAACCCCUCCCCAAUACAAAUUGGUGGCAAGUAGGUGGAGGAAGGAGGGUCCACUGGAGAACCCCCCCUUACCACCCAGCCCAGGAGCAAACAAUUUCUCCCCAGGGCUCAGAAGCUGCCUGUGAGCUUCUUGUUUGGGGCUCACACUGAGUUCCCCCUGUCCUUUAUUUGAGAUGAGUGACUCGUGACACCACAACUGCUGAAUCUACAGCCUCCAAAACCAUGCUGGGGUCCAAUCUCUAGCCCGGGCAGGAGGCAUUCUGCUGGUGCAUCUCAGUGUGCCCCCACGCUGUCCCGACGUAACUGGGCAUCCGUAUUUGAUCUGGCAACCCUGCGUGACUUGACACCUUUAUUCGAGACCCCCCCAACAGCAGCCCCACUCAGUAUAUCCACAGCUGACUUCCCAGGAAACAAACUCAACCAUCCAGUGCGUUGUACAAAUGAAAAACGGAAGAAUGCAUGUUGCAUUUUGCCAAGUUGCUCUCAGCUUUUUCCUGCCUGUAUGCCAUCUUUCUGCAAACUACCAGCGCUGGCCGCCUCGCACAGCGAUAAUCAGCCUGUCAGUCAAUAAACUGAAGAUGUUGGUGGUGUGCUGGGGUUGGUGGCCAGCAGUGAGAGCCCUGAGAGUUAUAAAUUCAAGAUGAGAAUUGAGAUGUUGCCAAGGCUUCACAGAGUCCCUGAUUUACUAGGAAAUUGUUCCCUAGCCUUGACUGCUGGCCCUGUUAUGCAAGGGACUUUGUGUGGGCUGGGGGGAUGGUUGAAGGAAAGACAAAAAAUAAAAGACCAGAAGCCAGUGUUUAGGCACAGUGGAUAGGACAUUCCCUACCCCACUGCAUUUGGUCACCUAUGGUCUGCUAUUUAACCUGUCUUAACCAUGUUCUGAUUUGCAUGUGCUUGCUUACUUUCUCCAACUAUUUUACAGACCCCUUGAAGGCAGACACUGGCUCAUAUUUCUGGUGUCUUCCUCCCCCACCCCAUUCUAGGCCUCUAGCACCACGCUGGGCUCAUGGGAAAGCCGAUUGAUUAACUGGCUGAAUGUGGAGGAGGAGGGGUUAAUUAAUCCUAGAAAGAAGGCCUCCCAGAGAAGUCCUCCAUGCCUGCUCCCUGAGGACCAUGAACCUCCCCUAGUCACCCUCUGCCAGCCCAGGCCCUCCUGAGCCUGGUUCUGACACUGUGGGCUCUAGACUGGGCCUUCCUCCUUCAGCCUCUGGGGACAGGUUGCUGGCCUGCAGUUCUGAAUAUUUCAGUUGGCUCCAUGCGUAGGGCCUGCUCCAAGGCCAAUCUGAAUGAAUUUGGCCACCUCCCUGUUUUACAAGUCCCGUUCCUAAACUGGAGCCUACAAACAUCUCCCUGCCUUCCUGCACAACGUGUGGCUCUGUUCCCUCAGAGAGAAAACAGUCUGAACCGUCCUGAGCCCAUUUCCUUUCCAGGUUUUGCUAGUCUCUUCUCUCGUUGAGGAAGGAUGUGCUGGGCCCCAGCCCUGGGUGUGCAUGGGGCAGCAACCUGGGCAGCAGUUAGAGAACAGCAAAGGAGGGUCUCCACUCUCCUGAAGCUCCCAGCCCACUGCGGGGACCAGAACAUAAGGAUCAUUGCGAAACCCGUCGAGGCCAUGUUUGCUUGAUAAGCACCACAUGUGUGGAGAGAGAGCUCAUCCCAGCCCAGCUUUGGCUCUCCUGGGUGGGCUGGGGUCUGGGGGGAACCCACAGAAAAAAUGGGAAGAGAAUGCUUCCAAGAGCAUGGAGAGCCAGCUCAGCUACUCACCAGCUGUGUGACUUUGGGCAAAUUACCUAACAUCUCAGGAGUUAGGUUCUUUAUCCACACACCAAGAUUCCCUGAUAUUCUAGGAUUCUGAUGGGGCAUGGCACAGAGCUGCAGCCUUGUUGCUACAAGGCUUUGAGAACUCACUGAGCUUGAGGCAGAGGUCCAGACCAGCAGGGAGGGGCCUGGGGCCUGUGAUCCUAAGCACAGCUUCUCAUGACUGCUAGGUGAGAGGGGUCACACCUGAGAGACUAUGGGGCCAGAACCGAAUCCUUGAGUCUGGAGAUCAGGUGCCUCAGGCCUGGGCUUCAACGCACCCCUGUCCCUGCUUCCCUGGGUCCAUGGCUGCAGUGAGCAAGAAAAAAAGAACCCUAGAUGGGGGGCGGGGCAGAAGCCACAUCAGCACCAACCAGGGCAAACAAAGAUGAACUGUCUUCUAGGCUUGAGGUUGUUCAUUUGCAAACAACAGUAUUUGAGUUGCCACUGUUCCCCGCCUGCCAGGCCAACAGAGGCUGUCUGUGCG
rnacentral:lncRNA from 1 species